GUUUCAGGGAAGAAUACACAAGUGCAAAGAGGUUUCACCCAAAUGGUGGGAUGGGAAUGGAAUUCCCAAUACAACACACAAGUACAGAGAGGAUCGGAAAGUUUGUUGGCAUGAGACUCCUUUUGAGGAGAGACUAGAAAAAGCCUUGUUUGAGGAGACUUUCAUCCGGCAGAGGCGUCAAACCAGCAGGGCGAUAAAUUUUGGAAGCAGCUGAAUUGAGAUUGUAGGCAUUAAACCAGGAGGGUGGUACAAGCAGAUUUUUAUCGCUACCUUCAAGCAUUUCAAGACUGUAGUUUGAG